UUCACUUUUUUUCACGUGAAUUACUCCCAUGCCUUCUCUCUCUCUCUCUCCACUGAAGCUCCAUUGAAGAUGUGACGUCCUCCGCUGUUGCCGUCAUUGUCGCCGCCGUGGCUCACGUCGCACGAGCUCCUUCCACCGCCGCUCUGAAUGCGUUUGCUCCUUUCGUCGUCACACGAGCUCUCUCAGCCGUGCUCUUGUCUUACGAGCUCCCUCCGCCGCUGCCCUCGCGCUGCUUCUUCUCUCCUCGCUGGAGGUUUGUCAUCGUCUUCUCUCAUCGCUGUUAGUUCAGGUCCGCUGAAGGUUACACCAUCUAUGGUCGAGUGAAAAUCCCCAGCAAGCAAUCGAUGAAGAUAAGGAAGAAGAUCGUACCACAGAUUAAGACAACGCUGCUAUCACUAUCACUGUUAAAACCUACUCUUCUCUAAUUUUACUGUUAUUGGAAGAAGCAUGAGUUAUGGAAAGGACGACAUAGAAGCUCCUCGGAGCUCCGGUGACAUCGACGAUGGAGGCUCCUCCUCCAAUCCCUUUGAUACUGUCAGAACAAAAGAUGCUUCCGUUCAACAACUCAAGCGUUAGAGGAUGGAAUUUGCCUUUCACAGUUGUACCAACUGCUAUUGGUACAGCAAUGGAUGUUAACCUGAGCAAUGCAUCUCUAGUUUUUAUCUCUGUCACAUUUGCUACAAUGUGUAAAUCUGCUGCUCCAAUUUUUCUACUUCUGUUUGCAUUUGCUUUCAGGUUGGAGACACCAAGCUUUAAACUAUCAGGCAUCAUCAUGGUCAUCUCCAUUGGGAUACUAUUAACAGAAUUCUGCUGUGAAGAAUACGAUUCCAUACUGUAGUACCAGAAAAAAACCAUCUACUUUGAAAAAUGAGAGAGAAAACAUGAAAGAUCAACUGGACCUUCGUUAUAGUAGCAAAAAUUAGAGUGAGGUGGAAGUGGAAACUGAACCUGGAAUUCUUGAUGAAAGUAUUGAUGCUGUAGAAAUAGAUCCAGUAUCUCCUUUCUUGGGUUAUGGAGGCUGCUGCUAUAAUGGCAAUUGCUCUUGCCAAUGGAGGGGGUAAGCCUCCUGAUUGGCAAGACUUUGUUGGUAUUAUCACUUUUCUUGUCAUCAAUUCAACCAUCAGUUUCAUAGAGGAGAACAAUGCUGGUAAUGCUGCUGCAUCUCUCAUGGCUCGUCUCGCUCCGAAAGCAAAGGUGAAGUUGUCUGGAUCAAUUAGCAGUCAAUACUUGACUGCAUUGCUCAUGGCAGCUCCUUUGGCCCUUGGUGAUGUUGAAAUUGAGAUUAUCGAUAAACUGAUUUCUGUUCCCUACGUUGAUAUGACUUUGAAACUGAUGGAGCGCUUUAGAGUCCAUGUGGAGCACAGUGGUAACUGGGAUAGGUUCUUGGUCCACGGAGGUCAAAAGUAAAAGCGAUGCUUCUAGUGCCAGCUACUUCCUCGCAGGUGCAGCUGUUACCGGUGGGACUAUCACAGUUGUAGGCUGCGACACAAGUAGUUUACAUGUAUGUAAAUCCAAUGAACUCUUAUGAUAUGAAUCCUGAUCAGAUUAUAUUUUUCAGUGGAGCCAUUUUGCAUUUCGCUUAAAAAUGCCCUGGGUUUCUCUUAACUUGAUCCUUCUC